CCGAUGCUUCUUCUUCUUCCUUUCUCCUCAAUGUUUGUUGCUUCUUCUCUUUGUUUUUUUCUUUUUCCUUUUAUGGGCAUGUAAUGGAUGUGCGUAGUGUUUUUCUUGGGAUUUUUGAGUUCAGGAAAGGGAGAGACUUUACCCCCCACCCCUGCGAUAGCAAACUAAAAGCCAAUUAACAACAGCAGGCUCUCAGUCUCAGUUGAGUUGCUGCUUUGGUUGAGGUCAGAAUAUCGAAAUCCAAAAUUAUACCCCCGUUCAGGUGCCUUAAUUGGAGAAGAGCCGUUGAAGAUAAUAACUACGCAGCCUCAUUUGAUAGGAAUUUUUUAGUUUUGUUCCAGAUUUGAGAGGAUUCAAUAGCUACUUUAUUUCUUCUCUCACAGUUGGAUUCUGUUUGGAUUUUUAUUAUCUCAUUAAGCCAAAUGGAUCUGCAAAUUUGAAUUUCUGAAUAGUGAGAAUCUCUAUCAUAUAUUUGUACAACCCAAUUGACCAUAAAUGGAUUUCGAAGUUCAUUGGUGCUAAGAAAACGAGCCAAAAAGAGUAACGAUGAAGAAAUCGUGAAUGAUCAUCUGUGUUUACUUCAAACAUUUCUUGGUUGGCCCAGCAAUGUUUGUAAGAUACUCUUAAUCCUAUUCCUUCACCCAUCUCCACCUAUCUCUCAACCAACAUUGCCCUCAACAGAUUAACUCAGAUACGGACUAUAUGAAAUCCACAAAAACAGACUGAGAAAUCCAUCCUGAUUGAAUCAUUAAACUCUGUAGAGGCAGAAAAUGGCGACAGAUUAAUUGAGAUAGAAACCCAUCUCCUACAUUCUCUUAAACAACAUUUUUGGACAAACUCAUAGAAUUUUCUUAAUCCUAUUCAUUCACCCAUCUCCUACAUUCUCUUAAACAACAUUUUUGGACUAAAGUCGAGCAAAUUAAUUGAGACAGAGACCAAAUGAAAUCAACCAAUUGAUAUGAAACUUAUGUUCAUUUGCAUUCUGACUCACCCAUUAUUUCUUAUGACCCAUUAUUUAAUGUCCAUUCCAAAUUUGAGAGGAUUCCUCUUCAGAUUAUGGGAUCUCUACAAAGGGGGGAAUUGAUUUAUCCAUAGGCUUUGAGGACACCAGGAGAGGUUGGGAGUAUAGAAAGUUGUUUAUUAAUUUUUGGGUCCACUACUUUUUUUGAUGAAGUUGUCCCCUCAUGCCACUUCUCCCUCCCUCCCUCCCUCUUUUUUAUUUAUUUAUUUAUUUAGAGAACAUUUUAUUGUUGGUUAUGCACUAUGUCUAGGAAUCCUAUUAAUCUUGCACAUCUUAUUGUUAAAUAUUAGGUUACUUUUAUAAUGGAAGCAUGUCAUGCCUUUGAAUAUUUUGUUCUUCUGCUGCUCAUUGUGAACUAAAGGAUAAAUUCUUGAAUUUAUCUAUGCAUAAGUACUUUAAUUGUCAUAACCUUUCUUGUGGGAUGUAUUGCACUAAUGUAAUGUUAAUAUGCUUGAUAGGAUUUAUCCUUUACAUAUUAAUGAGCGAAAAUCUGAAAUUGUAGUUUGUAGUGCAGCAAUAGUGCAAUGGCUAAUAACCAGGUGGUUGCAAAGGAAAAUAAUUUUAAUACCAUAUUUCAUGAAGUUCUCGCUUUUUCAUGUCAUAAUGACAAUGGCUUCUAAUUAUUGGCUUUAAUUACUUCACAUGUUAUGAUGUUAUCAUCUCUCUUCUAUAAGCUUCCACUUUACCUGCAUAGAAACACACAUCAUCAAUAAGACAUCCAAAAGCAGUACAACACCAAUUUGAUGAGAGUAACAUAACCCAAAGACUAUGGCUGCAUUUGGUUUGAAUUCUAGUUCCCAAUUCUGGCCAAUCUCAGAAUUGCAAUUCCGGCUCCAAAUCUAAAAAUCGAAGAAAUGCAUUUGGAUGCACUAUUUGCAAACUUCAAUUAUGAUGCCUAGAAUUUGAGAAUUAUGUUUGUUGGCAUAAUUCUGCUACUAAGAAAUUCUCAACAACUGAUAUGGUAUAUGAGCUCAUACCAUAGAACUGUGUCAAUAAGCAUUGUUAAUGAGCACAAAUAGCUCGUUAACUCGGAAAAUAACAUUGUUCAUAUUAGACUAUUAGUUCAUGGAAUAAAACCGGAUAUGUUCAUAUAAACCAUUCCAAUCCAUCAUACUUUCUUCAUUUACAUUUGACUACUAAUAAAACCACAUAGGUUAAUGAGUCUCUAUCCCUGACUUGAGCAGUAUUAUUCACGAACAAACCCCCCUCCACUUCAAUAUGGACUCCAUCCCGGUCUGAUAUCUAUGCAUAUUAGAUGUUACAAAACAAGAAAAGUCUGGCGGUACAGAUUUUACAACAAAGCAUAUAUAUAUUCAAGGCUAAGAAUCCUUCCUAUGAACUUAAAAACAUUGCCCUUAGAGCUCGUGGGUCUAAUUUUCACCUUAGCAUAGUCGUCACGACAUUAAGGUGACCAAAGGUGUUGGUAGGGGCUCAGACACAAGAUGACACCAACAAGGCACCUCCGCAAUCAAGGCUAUCAAGGCACAUAUACACCUUGACAACUAUGCACCCUAGGCUCAGAAACAUAUAUAAGCCUUAUUUUACUACUGCUCUAGGGAAGAUCCCAACUGGUACUAUGCGCAUAUUACAAUAGAACCAAUAUAAUGCCUAAUUAUCACAAGGCUAGAGGGCAACUACAAGGAGAUAAAUGGGUGGGUUGGUUUAGUUUGAUAAUUUUUAUCUACGAAAUCCUUUCUUCUUUUCCUAACUCUAUAAGUUGAGUUUUUGAAAGGCAUUCUUGUGUUGUCAUUGUUAGCCACAAAACUCAUGGUUAAUGUCGCUGUGUACAGAGCACACAACACACAGAGCAUGACAUAGUGGUGCCCUCUUGGGAUUCCCUACUAAUUCUGUUUUGUUACAAUGAUUUCACGAACAAAGUCUUUCUUUCAACUGUAGAUCCCCAAAAGUUUACAUUUUGAAACCAUGGAGUUGUAGCUGAUAUAGAAACUGGUAUGGAGUUUUGCAACAAAGAAAUUAAGUUAAGGGAUAGUUCCUUCUAUGGAGUUUUAGCUGAUAUAGAAGAUUCAGAGUUUGGGAAGUUGAGCAAUGCCAUCAGGAGCCUUCCAAUUAUUGCAUUGCUUCCCAAGUGGAAGUAUUGUAGACUCAAAAUUCCAAUGAUUGCUGAUUUGGGAGUUGUUCCGAUUCAUGAUAGCUCCAAGAAAGUUGUUUGCGAUGGCAUGGCCAUAUUCAACAAAAGGCCUUGGGAUGCACCCGUAAGGAGGAGUGAUUUGAUUCAUAUUGAAGGAACUAAAAGAGCUAGGUGCAAGCCAAAAAAUACCAUAUAGAAGAAGCAUUGAGGAAAGACAUGCAUAGUUUAGGUCUCCUCCCAAGUAUGACCUUGAAUAGAGCUGAUUGGAGGGCAAGGAUCUAUAUAGCCGACCCUAUUUAGGUGGGAUUUUUCUGAGUUGUGUUGUUGUGUUCCUCCUCUUUAACUUCACUUUUACUAUUAUUUCUUGUCUUUGAUUGGAUCCACGUAGCUGACCCCAUUUAGUUGGGAUAGAGCUGAGUGGCUGUUGUUGUUGAGGGGGGGGGGGGGAGUGUCCCCUAUCGUGGAUUAGUACUUCUAACUAUAGUUUUCUUCUUUAGUUGGGAACUUGGGAUAAGGCUGAGUUGUUGUUAUGGUUGUUCCUAUUUCUGCUAGAUUGUAGUUUCCUAGUAAGGUUGUGCUUCUCAUUUUAUUCUUCUUGCUUAACAAGGAAUCUCUUUCCUUUCUAUUCUUGUUAUUGUGGAGAUAUAUAAAUAUAUGUGGGGGAGGACUGCUGCGAGUAUCAACUGCAGUUACUUGUCAGAAGUCUCUUCUUUCGCUUCUUCUUCCUCACUUCUUCUUUCUCUCUUUGUUGGUUACUGGUUAUUAUUUUUCUGAUAUUAUCACAUUAUCAAUUCCGUAAUCUCUUACGUAAAAGUUACGGAAACUCCAACUUGGGUUACUUUUUCUAUUUUUUCGAUUUUCUUUUUGAUAUCAAAAUUACCGGUUUGUGCAAAAUGUUCCUUUCAAAGCAUCAAGGAUUCUAACAAGCUUUCUUUGCUUCUCCCCACGGUUUCACAAUAUCACAGUUGCACUCAUACACAAACCAGUUUCACACACUAAAGACUGAUUUCUCAGUCAGUUUACAAGGUGUGACAGUCAGAGGGUAAAUCUGAUCAGACUUUCAAGAGGAAAUUUCACUCCCCUCCCCUGACGUUUUUGUUUAUUACACUCCUCUCCCCUUCGAAGUUUAAAAUUACAUAACGUUCCCUUUGAUGUUGUAGAUUCUAUCAAUCGUACCCACGCCAUGAGCUACCCACCGUUAAGUGAUGUCACAAGAUGUAAAAUUGAAUUUUAAAUCCCAAAAUACCCUUACCUUAACGUGAACAUAUCCCCCCCUCUCUCUCUCUCUCUCUGGUAUAAGCCCUGUUAAGGAAUUACCAUAAAAUCCAGACUCACUAGAUUUGUUAAGUUUGAAAGAGACUCUGGAAUGGGACCUGAAAGCUUAUUUGAUUAUAUUAGUAGUCUAUUGAGAUUUUGAAGCAUCCCCAUGCUUACAGGAAUUGAUCCAGAUAAGAGAUUCUCAUGCAAGUUUAUCUCUUCAAGUCUGGACAGCUUACCGAUGCUUUCUGGGACUGGGCCAGUUAGAUUGUUGGUGUAGAGAUAGAGUUUUCCGAGCCUUCGAAGAUGAAAACCGAUCGAUGAUAGGAUGGUUCCAGCAAGACUGAUGAGUCCACCGAGGUCGAGGACUUCAAGAGAGAUGAGAAGUGUUAUGGAAGGAGAUAACCAGCCUUCCAUUUGGGUUUGAGCAAUGAAAUCACUGGUGGAUAAGAAGCCGGGGAGUCGGAUUUCUGCCACCCUUCCAGUCCUGUCGUUGCAUUACACCCCAUCCCACUUGCAGCAGUGUUGGCCAACCCACUUAUCUAGUCGAAUGGAAGUAUCGACGAGAAUUGCAGCCUUGAAACUAGUCAAGGCUAUUAGAUCUUUGAGUUGCACUCCUUACCUAAUAUCCUCUUGCACUCUAUGGUGGGAAUGAAGAUUAUGAUGACAAGAAUCCAGAGCUUGCUGCCCAUAAUUGUCUGCUAAGUGGUUCUUCCUUAGAGCUGGUUGGCUGGUGCUGAUCCAAAAUUCCUAUUACUAAACCCCUUUUUUCGCUAGUCAUGGUGAAAGAAAGGGUUCUGUAAUGGUUUUCAUUAGAGAGAAAGCUGUACAUGCCACCAAUGGCAGCAGUGCUUGCUGUUAACAAACUAAGGUGGAGGACCUCUAAGUUUGUUGUUUGUUCUUUGAAAUAAUUCUCUUUUAUAUUUUUUCAACAUACUGCAUCUUUUAAUGGCUGCUUUGUUAGUAUUCCAUUUUGUUACGUCUCUUUUAACAGUAAAUUCAAUGCAACUUCCCCUUCGUGAGGGCGAGACUGGCUGGUUGGGUUUGGGUUUGGGUUUGCCCAAACCUGAGUGGUCAGUUUAUCCAAGGUUAGCAUCUUGGAUGCCCCCUUAUACUCAACAAAUGGCCCCUAAAAAGGUCGCAAUAGGGUGAGUUGAACGUACAUUGGUGUAAAGAACUGAUUCAAAAAUGAAUCAUGAAUUCUUUCUUUCGCAAACCAUUAUUUAAUGUUUUGGAAAGGCUCCAGUUGUGUUCGUGGCAGAGGUAGCUUGUCUCGCUCGCCGCAUAAACCAGAACAGCGAACGUUUCAUCUUGUUAAUUGGAAUGGACUUUGUAUUCAUAUGUGAAAUGGGGCUGGAAGCAAUGAAGAUCAUUUCUUACCAAGGAAAGAGGCACUUGCAAGUUGCCAAAGCUUGCUUGCACGUUUCAUCUUGUCAAUUGCAAUGGACUUUGUAGCACUUUUUUUUUUUUUUGCUUAAGAUCAGCAAUGAAAUUUUAUUAAAGGAUGAAUGGAAUAAUACAAACGGCAACAACAGAAUGCAGGUCACUACCUUAUAUAAAACUUAGCUUUCCUGGGUUUUGGAACAAAAACAAAUGGCACAGGGAAGUUAGAUUAGUCACUGAUGUUAAGUGUAGUACAUAAAUCUCACAAGUAAUUCCUCUUGUGUUUUUGGACA